rnacentral:snoRNA from 1 species
UGAUGGUGAUGAAGAUAACUUCUGAGCAUGCCCUUGAAUCUCUCCCAAGUUUGGUACAGAUUUUCUCUAUCUUUCUGUCUGAAACUCAAAAUCUCACCCCUUAAUCG